GAUGAAGAACGUAGCGAAAUGCGAUAAGUAGUGUGAAUUGCAGAAUUCAGUGAAUCAUCGAAUCUUUGAACGCACAUUGCGCCCCUUGGUAUUCCAUGGGGCAUGCCUGUUCGAGCGUCAUUUGUACCUUCAAGCUUUGCUUGGUGUUGGGUGUUUGUCUCGCCUCCGCGUGUAGACUCGCCUCAAAACAAUUGGCAGCCGGCGUAUUGAUUUCGGAGCGCAGUACAUCUCGCGCUUUGCACUCACAACGACGACGUCCAAAAGUACAUUUUUACACUCUUGACCUCGGAUCAGGUAGGGAUACCCGCUGAACUUAAGCAUAUCAAUAAGCGGGGA
rnacentral:misc_RNA from 1 species